rnacentral:rRNA from 1 species
UACGUAGGGUGCGAGCGUUGUCCGGAAUUAUUGGGCGUAAAGAGCUUGUAGGUGGUUUGUCGCGUCUGCUGUGAAAAUCCGAGGCUCAACCUCGGACUUGCAGUGGGUACGGGCAGACUAGAGUGUGGUAGGGGAGACUGGAAUUCCUGGUGUAGCGGUGGAAUGCGCAGAUAUCAGGAGGAACACCGAUGGCGAAGGCAGUUCUCUGGGCCGUAACUGACGCUGGAG